rnacentral:rRNA from 1 species
UCACCUCCCACCCGUGUUUAUUUACCUUGUUGCUUCGGCGGGCCCGCCUUAACUGGCCGCCGGGGGGCUCACGCCCCCGGGCCCGCGCCCGCCGAAGACACCCUCGAACUCUGUCUGAAGAUUGUAGUCUGAGUGAAAAUAUAAAUUAUUUAAAACUUUCAACAACGGAUCUCUUGGUUCCGGCAUCGAUGAAGAACGCAGCGAAAUGCGAUACGUAAUGUGAAUUGCAAAUUCAGUGAAUCAUCGAGUCUUUGAACGCACAUUGCGCCCCCUGGUAUUCCGGGGGGCAUGCCUGUCCGAGCGUCAUUGCUGCCCUCAAGCACGGCUUGUGUGUUGGGCCCCGUCCUCCGAUUCCGGGGGACGGGCCCGAAAGGCAGCGGCGGCACCGCGUCCGGUCCUCGAGCGUAUGGGGCUUUGUCACCCGCUCUGUAGGCCCGGCCGGCGCUUGCCGAUCAACCCAAAUUUUUAUCCAGGUUGACCUCGGAUCAGGUAGGGAUACCCGCUGAACUUAAGCAUAUCAAUAA